GACGAACGCUGGCGGCGUGCUUAACACAUGCAAGUCGAACGGUAAGGCCCUUCGGGGUCCACGAGAGGCGAACGGGUGAGUAACACGUGGGUGAUCUGCCCUGCACUUCGGGAUAAGCCUGGGAAACUGGGUCCAAUACCGGAUAGGACCACUGCCUGCAUGGGUGGUGGUGGAAAGCGUUUGCGGUGUGGGAUGGGCCCGCGGCCUAUCAGCUUGUUGGUGGGGUGAUGGCUUACCAAGGCGACGACGGGUAGCCGGCCUGAGAGGGUGACCGGCCACACUGGGACUGAGAUACGGCCCAGACUCCUACGGGAGGCAGCAGUGGGGAAUAUUGCACAAUGGGCGCAAGCCUGAUGCAGCGACGCCGCGUGAGGGAUGACGGCCUUCGGGUUGUAAACCUCUUUCAGCACCGACGAAGCGCAAGUGACGGUAGGUGCAGAAGAAGGACCGGCCAACUACGUGCCAGCAGCCGCAGUAA
rnacentral:rRNA from 1 species